GCGCGGCCUCCGGAAGCGAGGGGGCGCUGUGCCAGGCGGCGGCCUUGCGGGGCGGGCGCGCUGCUCCUUCCGCCUCGCGGACCCCGGAAGCGCGCGUGGCCGCCAUGGCGCGGAAUGUGGUGUACCCCCUGUACCAGUUGGGUGGCCCACAACUUCGGGUGUUCCGAACCAACUUCUUCAUUCAGCUGGUGCGGCCCGGUGUGGCCCAGCCCGAGGACACCGUGCAGUUCCGGAUCCCCAUGGAAAUGACAAGGGUGGACCUCAGGAAUUACCUCGAGGGCAUCUAUAACGUGCCCGUGGCUGCUGUGCGGACACGAGUGCAGCAUGGCUCUAACAAGAGAAGAGAUCACAGAAACGUGAGGAUCAAGAAGCCGGACUACAAGGUCGCCUACGUGCAGCUGGUCCCCAAGGAGCAGUAUCCCCUCCUUCUCGUGAACCCGAGCCACAUGCUGUGGCCUGGGCUGGGGCUUGGCUGACACGGACAUAUUCUGAACUCUCAGCAGAAGAUGUAAGACCAGUUAAUUGGCAGAGCCGGUCCUGAUUUAUCAGCUGCUGCACGUGCAUGUUUCUUCGCCCAUGGACAGACCUUCACGUUCCCAGAUCUGUUUCCCGAGAAAGACGAGAGCCCUGAAGGCAGCGCUGCCGACGACCUCUACAGCAUGCUCGAGGAAGAGAGGCAGCAGAGGCAGAGCAGCGACCCGCGGCGGGGCGGCGUCCCCAGCUGGUUCGGGUUGUGACGGGGCGGCCAGCAGGGACGCGCCCCAGGUGGGCAGCUGUGGCAGAGCAGCGACCCGCGGCGGGGCGGCAUCCCCAGCUGGUUCGGGCUGUGACGGGGCGGCCAGCAGGGACGCGCCCCAGGUGGGCAGCUGUGGCAGAGCAGUCCCGACACCUAAAUAAAAGUCCUGCUGCAGGAGAAAGAGCCGGAA